AUUUACUCCCCAGCCGCAGAGCGCCAGGCAGAGGGAGUCUAUUAAAGGGACAGUGUCCCGCCGGGAGCGGGGCGGGGCGCGGACCCCGGCGUGCCGCCCGCCCAGCCUUGCGCCCCGCUCGCCGGCGCUGCGACGCGCCCCCCGGGCCUCGGGGACGCCCCUCGGGGGAGCGCUGCGGAAGGACGCGCUGGGGGCAGGGGGAUGGAAGGAGGAGCCCCGGGCGCCAGUGACUGCUUUGUGAAAACUUCAAGGUAGCAGUCUCCUCUCGUGACACCCAGCGCAGCAUCGUGUUGAAGGGGAGAAGGGGACGCGGGGAAGCGGCAGAUGGGUUGCGGAGAGAGCCAUUGAUAAAGGCCCAUCAAUUCAUUUAUUUACAUCCUGAAACACCUAGUCCCUUAGACUGGGUUUGCUCAACCAACACAGAAGACACUGUGUCUUCUUCUACUUGGUGGAAAUUUACUCCCUGAAAACAGUUAAGGUGGAUGACAAAGUUUGGGGACGCUCAGGCAUUGACAAGC
ensembl:lncRNA